GGAUGGCUGCUGCCAGAAUUCUAGACUUUCAGAGCCUUUCAGGAUGGGGAACUAAUGAGAAGACACUGAUCAACAUUUUAGCGCAUAGAAAUGCCACCCAAAGAAAGCAGAUUCAGUUGGCUUACGAGGAAUUGUACAACGAGAGUCUCACC